UCAUUCCGGGACCCGACGCGCGCACGCGCGGCCCAGGGCGCGUGCGCAUCACCGGGCGUGUGGGCGUCUCUACGCACGCGCCUGGCGGCCAGCCAGUCGGCAGCUGCGCAGUUCUUUCUCACUGGGCGAGAAAGCCGGGUGCGACCCGCAACGCCCCGGGGUUACCUACACGGAAACUGAGUCUGUGUGCGGAUACCUGUUUUCUGGGCAUCGGCUGCUCGGUGAAGCUCAGUGGCUCAUGUUCGUCACCCUUUUGCCCUGUUCCGUGGUGCGCAGGCGCUGUCGUGCGCGUGCCUUCAACUGUCUCAAACUUACUGUACCCCCUUCUCCAUUCCCCUUGUCAUCUCUGCCUGUUGUGCCCUUGGUUCAUCCUAAAAGAAUGGCUUCAGUGAGGAAUCUGGUUGCCAUGGUUAUUAUCGUGAUUAUCACCGUGGUGCCAGCCACAGUGAUGGGCUGAGGUGGGUGGAUCACUUGAGGCCAGGAGUUCAAGCAGAACAUGAACGAAGUGUGGGACUCUUCUGAACUCGGGGCUCUAUGCAGUUGCACAGGUUGCACGCCCAUGAAGCCGGCUGUGUUCACAGUUGUUCCCAGCUAAUGCCAGAGGGCCCCUUUGCUUGAAGCCAGCAGCAGAUCCGGAGACACACCCCUCAGCAUUGUUGCCACGUGAAAUUUGUUGUCUAUCAGACCCCAGAGGCUCCCAGUUCUUGGUGGGCAGCAAGGGCAGAAGUGGGUGACUCACCUUCUGGCACAAACAUGUUGGCGAUCACCAUGAGCCCGGCCAGGAUGAGGAAGGAGGCCACCGUGGCCCGGCGACCCAUGUAAAUCAUGGUGGCGGUGGCCACCAGCAUGGCCGGGAUGUUGAUGAUUCCAAACGGCCUGCACCAGUACCACCUCAGUGCCGAAAUUAAGGCAGUGCUAAAAAAUAAAAAGAGAAGAAGAUGGAGGAAGGUCAAAGGACACAGGAGGCAAUGUGGAAGAGCUCCCAAUAGCCAAAGUUGGAGCAAUUUGGGAAAUAAGGUAAAGAAUGUAGUAUCUGCUAAAUAAAGGAAAAACGUCGUUGAAUUAUAACCCAAAGUAUAAACUACAUGAUUAUACAUGAGCCUAUAUAAAUAAAUGAUUUAAUAAAAAAGUCUUUCUUACAGAAGAACUCCAAACAAUAUGUGUAAAUAUUCCAUUCCUUGGCUGGGAGCAGUGACUCACACCUGUAAUCCCAGCACUUUGGGAGGCCAA